rnacentral:sRNA from 1 species
GCCAGGCAUGGUGGCUCAUGCCUGUAAUCCCAACAACUCGGAAGGCUGAGGCAGGAGGAUCACAAGUUUGAGGCCAGCCUCAGCAACUUAGUGAGAUUCUGUUUCAA